rnacentral:rRNA from 1 species
AACGAACGCUGGCGGCAUGCCUAACACAUGCAAGUCGAACGAGAUCUUCGGGUCUAGUGGCGCACGGGUGCGUAACGCGUGGGAAUCUGCCCUCUGGUUCGGAAUAACUCAGGGAAACUUGAGCUAAUACCGGAUAAUGACUUCGGUCUAAAGAUUUAUCGCCUGAGGAUGAGCCCGCGUCGGAUUAGCUAGUUGGUGAGGUAAAAGCUCACCAAGGCGACGAUCCGUAGCUGGUCUGAGAGGAUGAUCAGCCACACUGGGACUGAGACACGGCCCAGACUCCUACGGGAGGCAGCAGUGGGGAAUAUUGGACAAUGGGCGAAAGCCUGAUCCAGCAAUGCCGCGUGAGUGAUGAAGGCCUUAGGGUUGUUAAGCUCUUUUACCCGGGAUGAUAAUGACAGUACCGGGAGAAUAAGCCCCGGCUAACUCCGUGCCAGCCGCCGCAGUAAGAC